GUUAUUAUAGCUUACCAUAAAGCAUAGCACUGAAAAUGCUAAGAUGGUUUCAUCACCUAAUUAACA
rnacentral:tRNA from 1 species